AUCACAGCUAAUAUGUACUUCAUUUUUAAUAUAAAUUUCUCUAGGCUUAAUUUCCAGUGACUGGAGUUUUGUAUACUGGGCUGGAGACCACUCUAUUCUGUUUCUCUGGGAUUCUUUGCAAAAAGCAGGAUGACUGAAAUUUUCUCCAAGAUUGUCUUGGUACUAGGUCCCUCUUUAAGGCUAGUAAUGAGCUAUCAUAGCCCUGUAAUACUUCAAAUUACUCUAUAGAGUUUCGUGUUCCGGGAAUUUUAAUAUUUAGACCCAUUCAAACUCAGAAAUGACAUAAUGCUUUGUCACGAACCAGUAUGUAAAAGCAGGGAUAUAAUUGCACUCUUGAAGGAAGCAAGUUAGAUGUGUAAUUCUGCCUAGGUCAUCCAGCAUGGAGUUUCAUUUCAAGAAGCACCUCUGUCUGCUGUCAGGUUUUUUUUUUCCAUCAACAGGCCCAUAAGUUGAUAACCUAUAUGUUAUUUAUCAAAACUGUGGAAUUCAGACAUUUUUCAGGGGUGCAUUAAUGCUCCCUGUAACCCAGUGCUAGUUCAGAACUUUGGAGGAAACGGUUUGCUUUGGCGGAGAGAUUCCAAUUUAGAAGAGACAAACCCAGGAGUGUGUCUCCAGCUGCAUCUGAGGGAUCACUUCUGGCUCCAGCGCGCCUUGACUCUGUCCUGUUAAUCCAUAGCCGAGUGGAACAGAGGAGGACCCAGGCAAUAUCUAAAUACAGAUGGUCUUGAGAGUGAUUUCAGGAUAUCACAGCAAAUGGAGUGCUUCAGUAUGGGCAAACAGGACUAAGCCUCAUGAACAACACUUGGUGGUCUGUUACUUCAAGUGAUGCUCU